CCAAUAGCGUAUAUUAAAGUUGUUGCAGUUAAAAAGCUCGUAGUUGAAUUUCGGGAUCAGUAGGUUGGUCAUGCCUUCGGUAUGUACUGGUCUCACUGAUUCCUCCCUCUUGAAGAACUGUAAUGUCAUUAAUUUGAUGUUGCGGGGAAACAGGACUGUUACUUUGAAAAAAUUAGAGUGUUUAAAGCAGGCUUACGCUUGAAUACAUUAGCAUGGAAUAAUGAAAUAGGACGUUCGAUUCUAUUUUGUUGGUUUCUAGGAUUGACGUAAUGAUUAAUAGGGAUAGUUGGGGGCAUUAGUAUUCAAUUGUCAGAGGUGAAAUUCUUGGAUUUAUUGAAGACUAACUACUGCGAAAGCAUUUGCCAAGGAUGUUUUCAUUAAUCAAGAACGAAAGUUAGGGGAUCGAAGACGAUCAGAUACCGUCGUAGUCUUAACCAUAAACUAUGCCGACUAGGGAUCGGAUGAUGUUAAUUUUUUAAUGACUCAUUCGGCGCCUUACG
rnacentral:rRNA from 1 species